CAGCAUGGUCUUAGCUUGCUAAGGCUGAUGGCGACCGGCGCACGGGUGAGUAACACGUAUCCAACCUGCCGAUAACUCAGGGAUAGCCUUUCGAAAGAAAGAUUAAUACCUGAUGGCAUAGGAUUAUCGCAUGAUAAUCCUAUUAAAGAAUUUCGGUUAUCGAUGGGGAUGCGUUCCAUUAGGCAGUUGGUGAGGUAACGGCUCACCAAACCUUCGAUGGAUAGGGGUUCUGAGAGGAAGGUCCCCCACAUUGGAACUGAGACACGGUCCAAACUCCUACGGGAGGCAGCAGUGAGGAAUAUUGGUCAAUGGAUGGGAGUCUGAACCAGCCAAGUAGCGUGAAGGAUGACUGCCCUAUGGGUUGUAAACUUCUUUUAUACGGGAAUAAAGUGAUCCACGUGUGGAUUUUUGUAUGUACCGUAUGAAUAAGGAUCGGCUAACUCCGUGCCAGCAGCCGCGGUAAUACGGAGGAUCCGAGCGUUAUCCGGAUUUAUUGGGUUUAAAGGGAGCGUAGGUGGAUUGUUAAGUCAGUUGUGAAAGUUUGCGGCUCAACCGUAAAAUUGCAGUUGAUACUGGCAGUCUUGAGUACAGUAGAGGUGGGCGGAAUUCGUGGUGUAGCGGUGAAAUGCUUAGAUAUCACGAAGAACUCCGAUUG
rnacentral:rRNA from 1 species